rnacentral:rRNA from 1 species
UACGUAGGGUGCGAGCGUUAAUCGGAAUUACUGGGCGGAAAGCGUGCGCAGGCGGUUCGUUGUGUCUGAUGUGAAAGCCCCGGGCUCAACCUGGGAAUGGCAUUGGAAGCUGGCGAGCUAGAGUGUGGCAGAGGGGGGUGGAAUUCCGCGUGUAGCAGUGAAAUGCGUAGAGAUGCGGAGGAACACCGAUGGCGAAGGCAGCCCCCUGGGCUGACACUGACGCUCAGGCACGAAAGCGUGGGGAGCAAACAGG